CCGCCGGCGACCGGCGCACGGGUGAGUAACACGUAUGCAACCUGCCCCUGUCAGGGGGACAACCCGCCGAAAGGCGGGCUAAACCCGCGUACAUGCCACCGGGGCAUCCCGGAGGCAGGAAAGGCUUCGGCCGGACAGGGAUGGGCAUGCGGCGCAUUAGGCAGUAGGCGGGGUAACGGCCCACCUAACCGACGAUGCGUAGGGGUUCUGAGAGGAAGGUCCCCCACACUGGUACUGAGACACAGACCAGACUCCUACGGGAGGCAGCAG
rnacentral:rRNA from 1 species